GCCUGGGUGGCUCAGUCGGUUAAGCAUCUGACUUCGGCUCAGGUCAUGAUCUUGCAGUUCGUGGGUUUGAGCCCUGCGUCAGGCU
rnacentral:tRNA from 1 species